rnacentral:rRNA from 1 species
UACGAAGGGGGCUAGCGUUGUUCGGAAUUACUGGGCGUAAAGCGCGCGCAGGCGGCCAUUCAAGUCAGGGGUGAAAGCCCAGAGCUCAACUCUGGAACUGCCCUUGAAACUGUAUGGCUUGAGUAUGAGAGAGGUGAGUGGAAUUCCCAGUGUAGAGGUGAAAUUCGUAGAUAUUGGGAAGAACACCGGUGGCGAAGGCGGCCAUCUGGACCGGCACUGACGCUGAGGCGCGAAAGCGUGGGGAGCAAACAGG